CGGAGGAUCCAAGCGUUAUCCGGAAUCAUUGGGUUUAAAGGGUCCGUAGGCGGGUUUAUAAGUCAGUGGUGAAAGCCCAUCGCUCAACGAUGGAACGGCCAUUGAUACUGUAGAUCUUGAAUUAUUAGGAAGUAACUAGAAUAUGUAGUGUAGCGGUGAAAUGCUUAGAGAUUACAUGGAAUACCAAUUGCGAAGGCAGGUUACUACUAAUGGAUUGACGCUGAUGGACGAAAGCGUGGGUAGCGAACAGGAUUAGAUACCCUGGUAGUCCACGCCGUAAACGAUGGAUACUAGCUGUUCGGAGCAAUCUGAGUGGACUAAGCGAAAGUGAUAAGUAUCCCACCUGGGGAGUACGUUCGCAAGAAUG
rnacentral:rRNA from 1 species